rnacentral:rRNA from 1 species
CGGACGAACGCUGGCGGCGUGCUUAACACAUGCAAGUCGAGCGGUAAGGCCCUUUCGGGGGUACACGAGCGGCGAACGGGUGAGUAACACGUGAGUAAUCUGCCCUCCACUUGGGGAUAAGCUUCGGAAACGGGGUCUAAUACCUGAUACGACAACUACCUGCAUGGGUUGGUUGUGGUAAAGUUUUUCGGUGGGGGAUGUGCUCGCGGCCUAUCAGCUUGUUGGUGGGUAAUGGCCUACCAAGGCUUCGACGGGUAGCCCGGCCUGAGAGGGUGACCGG